ACAUUCAUUCAAUUUCACACAAUUCAAUACAUACAUUGCACAUUCUUUCCUAGUGUGUUACAAUUUUGACACCUAGGGUAUCACACAAGAACGCUGAGAAGACAAGUGUAUGUAUUGUGGAAGGCAAACUACGCGUAACCUGGUACCAAAUUACAUUCGAUCGCCUGGCAUACCAGUUAACGCUACACAGAUUUAUCAAGUAACUGCAGCAAAGUUGACGCCGCCGGUACACACUCUUAUUCAUCCUUUGCUUACUUCACAACAUAACUAUACCAAAUUUGCAAAUGAUUUCGAUUCAUUCAUAUACAGAACGCUGCAAAGGACUCCAUGCAGAUAUGGUGGAUCGCCUGAGUUAAGCAGCAAGCUGGAUUGAACGAGACUUCCCGUUUGUGAAUCCGAGAAGACACCCCCGCGUGACGGCUCACCUCAACGGGCGCUGACGAGGAAAGGAUGCUGGCAUACGCCGCACUCGAUCGUCUCUGAACCAGAAGUUGGAACUUGGACCUGGAGCAAGGUAAAUUUGUUGUGCCAUGUUCAGAUGUCGAUUCUCAGGCAGACACUAGACGAUGGAUUUUAAAAGAAUUGUAGCAACGAUCAACCUGAAGAUGGACCGUGCAGAUAGGGCAUGCAACUUCCCGCAUUCGCUUGCCAGAAGCAUCUGAAGACCUUGUCCCUGUCAAGGGAUAAAACAUUUAUACAUUGUAACGGCACAGUUGAGGGCAUAUCUUUAUCUGGUAUGGGCUACAGAGAUGAAUCCACUCACCUGAAGAUGACCUUUUAUUUAUAUCCAUGGCUUCCUGUUGAAAACAACAGAUUAUCCUCAGUCAGCAUGUUCAAAUUUGAAAAGUAGAUAUGUAUCAACUGGGAUUCACCAUUGACAAACAAGUGGGUGAUGUCUGCCUCCAUUUGUCACUUACAUUGGUACAAUAGGCUAAAAGUAUUUUCAGUAAAGCUGGUGUGGAGCAUUUUGACAUUUUAAUUUUUAUAUAUUAGGCUAUUAGCACUCCGGGGUAAAUCUGAUCUCAUGCGCUUAAUAAAAAUAAAAUGGUGCGCAGUCGCAACAAAGUAGACUAUUAUCUCUUGAAAGUGAACUAGAAAGCUCUGUUGGUUGAGUAUAACCGUACAAGAUAAUGGACCUCAAAAGAAACAGAGGAGCUAACAAACACACCUGAAGUUUUUUGGCAAGAUCCUCAUGGCUGUGAACAAUUGGUCGAUUUGCCGCUUCCCUUGCAUUGGCAAGUCUUUGUGUUACUUCAGCCUAUGACAGGAAGGCAUGAUAUGAAAUUAAUAUAGCUCACUCAUUAUGGAAAUGUACAUUCACGGGCCACUCCAAACAGGCCUGUUAAACAUUACAGACACUGUUGACAAAACUACAGUUUUUAUUGGCUGAAAAGGAAUCCACAAAUUGGUAUGAAUCAUCCAUUUUCUUAGACAAGAAAAGACACUAUCUGUGUAAACUAACCCCCUCAUUUUCCCCCACAGAACAGUACAAAGAACACAGUAGCUUCUUGUUGAGAAAAGAAAGGUAGGAACGAUAAAGCCUCAGUGCCUUAAAUGAAUAAUAAAGCCUCAAAUCAAAUAUCUAGUAGUUCUACAAUAUCUUGGGCCUAGCUUAUAAAUUAUUAAAUGGAACAGGUUAUGUUGUUAAAGUGGCAAGAUUUCUUUUCUAAUGUUUAUGCCCCGAGUCCUUAAGCAGAAGAAAACACGAAACCAAGGAGUUAAAUAACUAGCAUAACAUAAAUAAGAGCAGGUAAUGCAAUGGAAAUCCGGAAAAGGAUUGAAAAAACAGCUACCAUGCAUCUGUCACAAACUCGGACUGGUUGAGCAUCAGCAUCUGUAGUUAGAGGAGUCCUUCCCUGGGUGCACUUGUCACAGAAAAUAUCACCACAGUUUCGACAGUGAUGCUGAAAAUAUAAUAGGCUUGCCACGUUAAAAGAUAUUCAAGUGACAUCAUCAGCGAAUCAAUAUUUUUUUUCAUUUUUUUCUCGAACACGCAGGAGAGCUGCGUAUCUUUGUAUUAAGAGAAUAACCAGAUCAAUAUUUAACCGUUCUUUACCCUGCGGUUGAAAGCACUGAAAUCUGCUGCACAUGCCGUGCACUUGGUGACAGCUUCAUCUGGGACCUAAAAGAAAGUUUGGAGGGAACAUUUAAUUUGAUUAGCAAAGGUGAGUCAAUGAAUAAAACAAGAAUUAAGAAAAAGGAACUAUAGAAAGAAAUGAGCAAACACAUUUACAUGUGACAUAACAGGUACGAACCCAUAAGUAGAAUGCAGAUAAUAGUAUGCGAGACAGGCUCUACUAUGAUAUUAUCAAACAGAAAUAACAUAAAACCAACAAUACAAAAUGCAGAGCUAUAGGAUAAGCCAUAAAUCAAACUAAUAGCAAUUUGGCAACAGAGCUAACUUUGAAUCUAGCUUUGCAGAUUAUGCAGGAAUUACAAGUUUGAAAUGAUUGCAAAACACAGAUAAAGAGAGAUCAAUUACCCAGUGAUCUUAGAUUAUGCACGAAUUACAAGUUUGAAAUGACAGCAAAACACAGAUAGAGAUAGAUUAAUUACCCAGUGAUCUUUCUCCUCAUUCAUAGGCUUCACUAAAUUCCUCAAAUCAGGGAAAAUUCUCCUCCUCUCAUUUUGCUGCUCAGCAGGCUUGGCUGCAUCAGCAAUUGCUCUACUUCUUGAAAUGCUGCUUCCACCCAUCUCCUUGAACUGCAGUCCAAAGAAAGCAACGACCAUCAAUCAUUUUGGGCAAGCCAUGUAUAGUGCAACAAAACAAAUUAUAAAGAGCUGUCAGAUGAACAAAAUUAUGUUGAUAAGGUAAAUGCCACACCUGCACAGUCGCAGCUGUUACAGUGUCUAAGAUGGUGUUGGAUGUAUAGCUGUUUGAUUUCAGCCUUAUUCUUUUUGCUUCAACAUCCACUGAACUCUUGGACCAAAAGGCAAAGAUAGAAGAAUCUAAUACCUGACACAGAAAUCAUAAGACCAACAAAAUAAAUACUAAAAUAAUGAUAACUACUUUCUUACAAAGGUGCCACAAGAACACAAUUUACUUACAUCCCAUCUAGUUACAGUUUCAAGGGGAUAUAUUCUUAAAGUCCUACUAGUGUUGGGAUCAAGCAUCCGGAUUCCAUCCAAACCAACCUGCAUAAGGCACAAGCAGAGAAGUAUUGGUUAAUGCCUGCUGGAUCAUACCAAGUUACAACAUGUCAAUUAUAAACAUCCAUUCCUACAAGAGCUAAAUGCAGAAGUUUACAGGUUUAUUAAACCAGUAUUGUUUAGUAAAUUUAAAUGUGACUAUUUUGGCAAGAACAUUCUUGUACUGGCCUGUUCAUUUUCAGUUCCAUGCAAAUUCACAACCAACUGUUAACAUGUGCAUUUUAGGUCAGCUUCCAUAGAUGUCAAUAACAGAGCUUUUCGGUUUUCUUCAUUUUUCGUCUUGAUAGUUGAUAGCCUGCAAACCUACGAGCUCAAUAUAAUUUAUAAUUUUCAUUUGACUCGGCAAUACUAACUACACUAGAAAUGCACUCGGAAACCGAUUGAUAUUUCUUUUUCUCGAAUAUGGAGGAAUCUACCAGUUCAUUUGCAAUAUAUAAUUAUAUACUGCAGAUUAAAACAUCAACAUUAGUAUCCUGCCACAAUGUCAUUGUUGUUGAAAUUCCAGGAAAAAACAGCAGGUGCUUUUUAUACUGCAGUAGCUACAUAUAAACUUUGCAAGAAGACGAUGCCAGGAACUUUCCCAGUAUAUCUUGCAGUUGAUUAUAAGUAAACCAAACAGGUUGACUUGGGCCAGAAUCCCGCAAUAGGCCAUUCAUUUCAUACUGAGCCUCAGCAAAAUGUUGCAAAUAUCAGGUCCAGAAACAUGUCCCUGGUGCCAAUUUGGUGAAUAUUCAAUUUUCCCCCUAAAUGCACCACUACUGGUUACAUGACCAAGCUCAUCUACUAGUCACCCCUUCUGUGUAAUGUAAAUUUCCAAGUAAAUUGAAGCCAGCUCUGAACAUCUUAUGCUUAUUCACGCACUACUAUCAAAUGCAAUCUAUUCGCACCCUAAAAGGAUCAAUUGUAGGGUUAGCAGCCUCUAAAAUGAGCUAAGGUUCUGCAUUCAGAUUUGUUCAAAAACUCGGAAGCUCAUCCAUGACAAUGUUCACAAAAUUCAUCCCAUUACAGCAUCAGAACAAGCAGACUACCUGGCAGAGCACGUCCAUUGGGCUCCCAGCCCCCUCGGGCAGCAGCUUCACCCGGAACUUCUGCACCCCACCCCUGACGUCCUCCGUCGUCUCAGCCUUGGGCACGGCCCUUACCACCUUGGGGUUCGCCGCACUACCCCCGCGCCCACCCCUAUCCGUCGCUGAGCCAAUCGACCUCCCGUAGUCAUCAAACAGCGCGGAUCCCGACCCCGACCUCGGCGCGGUACCCCUGGCGCCGUACGGCUCCGGUGCGUCGCCGCCGUCGUACGCGUAGACCCCGUCGUCGGACCACCCGCCCCCGCCCGCCGGCCUGGGCGGGUACAGCUCCUGGCCGUACCCGGAGCCGGAUCCGUAGCCGUAGCUCCCCGCCCGAUCCAGCGACGGGUACGGCGACGGCACCGGGUUGUGCGGGGACGGAGGGAGCGGCGGCGGCUCGUAGGUGUAGUACGGGGGCGGGGGCGGCGGCGCGUCGGCCGGAGGCGCGUAGUGGGGGAUGUCGACGGGCUGGGCCGGCGGGUACGCGGGGUACGACGGCGCGGGGGCGAAGUCGGUGGGGUACGGCGAGUACGGGGGCGCGGAAGCCGGGGCGGGCACCGACGGGUAGGUGGCGGGAGGCGGCGCCGCGGGGGAGGGGUAAGGGGGGUAGUAGGGGGCGUAAUCCCCCGCGCCGGAGGGAUGCAUCGCCGGCGAGAGGAUGCUAGGGCUAGGGUUCGGAUCGGGGAGCGGGCGAGGCGUCGGGGGCGAGGUCGGCGAGCUGGGGGGACUGGGAGGGAAGGGGAGGAGGAGGCGACGGGGGGGGCGACCGGUAGGAGGUGGCGCGUUUUUGCGAAAUGGACCCUAGAUGUGGAAUUAAUUUCUAAUAAGGGCCUCCGCCUUGUGAGAAACCUGCCUGCAGGGUGUGAAUUGAAUAUUUAAGCCCCCAGCCACAGCCAGUGUGCAUGCGAGAAUGAUUGUGUUUCAUAUGAGUGAGAAUGAUGGGUUGGAAUUGAUUGGGUCAAGGAUUGAUUAGUCCUGUUUCUCAUUACUGAUUAGCAUUAGAAAGCUUAACCAACUGAACUGAAACUUACAGUUCCAGGAUGAUGAAUUGAUUGGAUCAAGGAUUGCAUUAGAGUAAAAUCACCAACUCAGGUAGACAUGCACUCCACUACUGAAAUUACCAAUCGCCCAACCCAUCACCAUCUUCUUCCUAAAAGAACAUCAGCACGGCAAGCUGCAGUUUCCAUUCGCUCACCCAGGAUGAUCCAGCAACCACAACAAAUUGCCAUGCUUUUUCUGUCACCUGCUCUGCAACCACAACGCGCAAACUGCAACCACAAUUUGCCAACAGGCUGGCCAGUGGGCUUACACAUCUAGAAUCGACAAGGAAAUCUAGAAAUGAAACUGUUGGUCUGGGUAAAGAGAGAAGAUGCCAUUAUUUCAUUUUUGGCAUUGACUUGCACUAAGAUUAUUAACUCCUAUUCAAAUGACAGUUAACGCAACACAGCUUUGAUAGAGAUUUCUAGCCAAGCGCAAGUCAAAACAAGCUCUGAGCUCCGGACAAGGCUAGGCUGCUGGUGAGGAAUGACAUCGAGCAAGCUCAGCCCAACCCUGUCCAAGUGCAUGGAACCGACUUGUCACCGUGCUUGCCGAAAGAGGCAACUUGCACAGUGGGGGGCAGGGAGUUGGUUUCUUGAUUGAGCAAGUGACAACACAUUAAACUAGUCGGUAGCUGUCAUGGUUAGAAAAAUCGGGUAAUUGGCAUUGGCUCCCUUGAUCCUAUGUCAGCGCAUGACAAGAUGAACACUGUCCAAUCAGAAAGAGAAAGAAAUGACGAAUCACGGGCAAUAUAACAAACAUCUGGGGGUAGCAAACGCUUGCGAGCUACUCAACUUAUUUAGAGAAGGAUUAGUUAGCCUACGCGUUAUUAUAUUGAAGGCUUGGUGAUUCAAAUUUAGUAAACAUGCGCAUAUCGUGUUCUUGGAAAAAGAAUAUCUUUGGAAUUGUUGGUAUGAAUCUUGUGAAGCCUGAACUCUGAAGAUUAUCAAGUUGCUUCACUGAAAGAUCUGCCCCAGGAGCCAACUGCAGGUUCAGUUCAUUCGAUCCUCCUCCAUCCCUCUUGAUGUUUUCAGAAUAAAAACACAAGCAGCUAGCGCUGGAUCACUUUCUACAGUUGCAAUAUUUUUCUCAUGAAUAUGUUGCGCAGCUGUACAGUUGAUGAUGUACAUGUUUGUCACUUUCCAUAGGGGCUGAGAGUAGUGAUGUAUGGCUAAUGCUUCUUCUUUACAAGCAGGCAUCCAAAGGUCGGCAAAUACAAACAUAUCCUGCCCACUAUUCAAUAGAAAUUUAGAAUGCACGCAGGCCUUCUUUAGCCUAUAAUUCAAAAGAAAUGCAUGGCAGGGUCAAAAGCCCGAGAUGCAUCUAACUUUCCUGAAAACGACGUUAAGAAAUUCGCAUCUAGAAUGCUCCCCUCGGUUUGGCCUGACUUGGAUUGGCAGAUGAUUGGGGAUUAGAACAAGCAUUAGUGUUGGUUUCUGAAACAGAUACUAGAUGGAAGAUGGACGGGUCAGGACAAAGAUGAAUUUAGGUUCUGGGAUAGGUGAAAAUAUCUAGUACAAGCAGAGCACAAGGAUCAGGCCAAAGUUUCAGACAUCACACAGGGCUAAAGAAAUGAGAUAUAAGAAUACGCGGGUUCUAUCAAGGCAACCACUACACCGUCCCCGGUCCUAUGCAAAUCCUCAAGUGCCAGCUACGCUUUUGACUCAUCAUCUCCUCUGUGUGUGUGUGUGUAUGUAUGUAUGUAUGUAUGUAUGUAUGUAUGUAUGUAUGUAUGUAUGUAUGUAUGUAUGUAUAGUGCCUGUAGAAUAGAUUUUUCCUAUAAUAUAUAUAUAUAUAUAUAUAUAUAUUCCAAUUAUUUGCAUUGCAUUGCGGUUACGCCAUGCUCUGAAUACUGAAUCGAGCGACGCUGGGUGUGAUAAAGAAAUUUACUUUCUGCGAAAUAUCUCUCCAUGGAUUGCAUAGAUUAAGAUGGCCAAUGUGAUCUGUUUGGUUGGGUCAAUGUGUUGCCAGUCUUGUGUGUUGCUGAUGCCACCAGAUAAGGCUACUGGAAAAUGACGCUCUACCUAGAUUACAGUUCGAUCACUCGUAAAAUCGAUCGACCUGACGCGGACAAUCCCUGCUCGCUUUCUCCAAUAUGCAAGGAUAGGAGCAGGCAUAGGUUCGUGAAGUAAACAACAGGAGAAGAUUUACAUGGUGUCAUGGUGAGCUUGGAAGCAUGCACAAUAUAUCCAAGCUAAUGGCCUUGAUGAUGAGAGAACAUAUGUGUAAGAUUGGAGAAUCCACAGCAAUUGGGUGCCCUCUACUGUAUGUUUCAGGAUCUGCAGGGCUGUUGGUUUCUCGUUGAAUUCUAUGGCCGGCCAAUCUGCCAAGCCAUCGAAUUCAUUUGCCAAUCAGCCAAUCCUGCUAGCUCUAGCUGUGGUAGUAGUCUGAUAUAUCCCAGCAUUCAGAACCAUCUUAGUCAUAGGGGCUCAAAUAAUGCAAUUAAAAACCAGGCAGGCACUGUAAAUAUGUAUCUGCCUUCUGCCGAUCGAAGUUGUGGGUUUAGUCAACUGCCUCCAAAAGAUGAUUAGCUAAGCAUGGUGGCAUACGACACAGCCUGCAUCACCAUCUAUCCAUCACCACUUGCUGCAGCUAGCUAGCCUGCAUCCGCGCGCGCGCGUGUGUCUAUAUAUACCUAAGUCCUACAGGGCCAUGAAUGAAAUAUCUCACCGGCUGCAAACUUAUUAGCUCGAUCAGUAUGUAGUAGUGCUGCUAAAGCUAGCUGAGCUGCACUCGAGUAUAUAUCCAAGCAAGAGCAGCAGCCAAAAGCUGAGAGCAUACGCAGCUCGGUGGUGUUGGUGCUUGCUGGUGUUGUCUUUUCUCCUUAUCCAGUUCCAGUUCAAUCGUUCGAUCCCGUCGACCGAUCAUGGCGGCCAACUACCACCACUACCAGAUGGCCGUGCACGCCGCCGCGGCGGCGGCGGCGGCGUGGAGGGAGCCGGACAGCCCGCAGCUGAGCUUCAUGAGCGGCUGCAGCUCCCUCUUCUCCAUCUCGACGCUGCAGGACGACGACGACGGCGCCGUCGUCAUCGCCGGCCACGCGCUGCCCUCCACGCCCGUCUCCCUCGCCGGGUUCGCCGGCGACGAGGUCGACAUGGAGGUGCAGCAGAUCAGCGGCGGCAGCGGCGACGACCGGAGGUCCAUCAGGAUGAUGAGGAACCGGGAGUCCGCGCUCCGGUCCAGGGCCAGGAAGAGGGUCAGUAUACAACCAUGCAUCUAUAUUCGUAUGAAUUCACUUAACUAUAACACACUAUAUCAUGUACUAUCUGAAAGUUCAAAUCUACUCAGUUUUCUGAAUAAAGCGCAUACCGAUGAAAUGAAACUCAAUCCAUAUUGAUUACUAAACGAAGUUAAGCCAUAUAAUUCAUGCUUGAAAAUCUGUCAUUGCUAUUGCAAUCCUCUGUGUUUUGGUGAAACACUUUUUCAAGCUUAAAACUAUUUGGUCCCUAUCAGGAAAUAAAUAAAGUAAUGAGAUACCGCAUUACAGCUGCUUGCUUCGUCCUCAUCAGAAGAAGAUAUACAAGUUUAUACGAUCUGAAUACAUAUACAAGUAGCAUGCGACAGUGAAACUUUAGAGUGGCGGUCACUAGUGAAAAGUGUGUACAAGAUUAAGUAAUUGAAUGUGGUGGCUCUUGCAUCAAGCAUUGAGUUCCUGCCAAUGGUUUCUUAGUUCUGUAGUAUGACCUAAACAUGUAUAUCUCUUCUUUGAGUGCCGCCAAGUUGGAAGGUUAGCACUCUAUAAUCUCAGUACAAAAUUCCCUCCAAAAGAAGCUAACACUGACUUUAGUUGUACCUGCUCCAAGUCUAAGGACGAAAUACUCCAAAAAAAAAGAAGAGUUGAAAAAUAUAUAGAAGAUUCCUGAUGAAUACUCUAGAAAAAAAGAAGAGUUGUACCAGCCACCAAGGAUUCGCAGAACGGCACGUCUACAGUUCUGCAGAAUACUCUAGAAGAUUCCUGAUGAUAAUCACGGCAUCUGCAUCCCAUGUCCAUCAAAUUGGAAGCUUGUGAUUACUAGUUUUUUGACCUUUUGCAUAAUGUUUCUGGAUGUGUUUUAGGUAGAACUUAGAAGUGUCUGAUUGGUUGUACUAGAGACCCCAAAAAUAAUAAAAUUGUCCAAGUUGCAAGAAGAAAUUAUGUGUCUUACUAGUGAUAGUUAUUUUACAAUGAAUCUUGAAUAUAGCUAAAAGCUUCGAGAUUACAUCAAACUAACCACUACUACAAUUUGCUUCAAAAGAAAUAACCACUUUUAGAAUAGUUUAUGUCUUCCACGUAGGCUUACGAGAUGUACAAGACUCUAUAGCUUGAAUCCAGUCUCUCAUGGUAAUGCUUAUGUCGGCUAAAUAAAAUAAUUAUUAAAAAUGCAUAUAAUUUGGUCAGAACGGAGGUCAAUGAAAAACAGCAUCUCAAUCCACCUAUACAUUUGACCAUGACCGGAGUACACCUUUUAACUGAAAAAUCACGCUUUUUCAGAGGAAAACAGCGCACAGUCAGUACACCUGGAAAUGAAAGCCCUGCACAUUCUGAUUCCACAAGUUGAUGUUCGUGUGCAGGCAUACGUUGAGAACCUGGAGAAAGAGGUUCGCCGGUUGGUGGAUGAGAACUUGAAGCUCAAGAAGCAGUGCAAAGAGGUACUGAAUCAUGCAUGCCCGAUGCCUUGUUUACUUCUGAGCAUCAGUGUGUUAUGAACACUCUUAUUCGCCUUCUUUUGCAGCUUAAACUGGAAGUGGCUGCACUAGUCCUCCCUACCAAGAGCUCGCUGCGAAGAACCUCAUCGACGCAAUUCUGAAGGCACAAAGAAGCAUGAACACAUUUUAUUUGCCAGUACAAAAUUAAGAGAAGGGAUGAUUGGACUUGUGUGUACAUGUGUUAGUGUGUGUUUGUGUCCCGUAGGGAAGGGGAGAUAGACGGAUAUGCAAUGAUAUGUACCCUUGACACUAGAUCUCUGCAAAGAUGAACGUCUUUUAAUUUCUUGAGCUGCAAAGGAGCUGUGUUCGACUGAACAAAUCGUAUUUCCCGGCAUCCCUGAUCGUUUCAGGUUGUCCUUCGUACCUAGAGCCAGCCAUACGCAGAUGUCCUGCCGCACAGAUAGGUGAAACUCAAGCUGUGAAUCAGAGUGAUUUGUACUGACCGUCCGGCCAUUUAGCUAUCUUGUGAGCAUUUCAGUGCUAACUCUCACAGACCUCUCAAAAUAUCAUUUAAAGUCCGAAGUAAACAUGUAUAAGUUUUCUUUUAAACAAACCAGACAGGAGAGCUGCCGAUUAUAUUAAAAAGAGGAAACAACAUCCAGACUGCGCACCACAACAACCAAUAACGACACCACCACCGCAGGUACGACCACACAACUCCUCUCAACUCGACUCAAAACAACCAGUUGGAUUGGGACAUCAACACAGUUGGGUAACUCAACUCGAUUCCACUCCAAACCACCCGCCGCGCCACCACCAAGACUCAACCCCGCUGCCUAGGUCGGACCGAGACAUCGACCCAGGCCUCAGCUCACUCUACCCGGUCAGAUUGGGUCGUCGAUCAGAGCCUCUGCACACCCUGUCCGGUCGGAUUGGGUCUUUGACGCGAGCCGCACCAACACAAGCAACAUUUUCUUGUUUUUUUUCAAAGGGGGAAGAAAGAAAGAGAAGAGGUAGCACACCCUGUCGAUGGCCAUCACUGCCAUCCGGAUUAGCCUGACAUCGCCUUUAAGAAGGUUACGUUGCUGAAAGCACCGCCGACACCAACUCAAGAUAGGUUAGGUUUUCACUCGCAACAUCCGGCAUGGAGAAGCGGAGAGGUGCAAAAGGACGCCUCCAAGGAGGUAGUGGCGUUCGCGAACGUCGCCGUCCAAGCUUUCGCCACCACCUCGGCCAAUCCUCAGGAUACGGCAGCAGACCUGACCAUGGCAAGAGUGGUGCGGGUGAUCAAAAUGGGCGUCCCCGUCGUCACCUAGCGCUGCCGUGCACAACAUGGGCAUCCGCGCCGAGCACGCCACCACCAAGGGCUGCGCGCAGACCACGGGACCACCGCAGCCGGGCCCCGCACACCGCAGUGCCGCCAAGCCACGCCCCGCCAUGUCGGGUGGGCACCACCGCCGACGCGCCCCUCCAGCCGCCCAGGUCGCGGACGCCGCUGUAUAGGCCGCGGGGGCCACGGCAGCAGCACCCCGCCGCGAGCCGGCCCGCUGUCGCCGCUCCCAGGCUGCAGACGGCGCCGCCGCCACGCCCAAGCUGUGCCCUGCCGCGGAGAGGCUCUGGGAGAGCAGAUCCGGCAGUGGCCAGCGUGAAUCCGGCCAAGCGCAAGGCAGAUCUGGUCGCGGGUCGUCGGGAAAAGCCACUGCCGCCAUAGACGGACCAGCCACCAAGAGAGGGCGAGGGGGAGGAAAGGAGAGAAAGAAGGGGGAGGUGGAGCCCCGCCGGCGCCUUUCUUGCGGCCGCUCGGGCUUCCGGCGGCAGUUCGGGCAGCAGCAAGAUGGGGGAGCAGAGAUGGGGGGCGGUGGUGCUUGGGGAGCAGCAGGUUUCGCCGAGCCGCCCCCUAGGAGGAGCGACGCGGGGGAGAGAGUAGCAAAUCAAAUAGGUCAAGUUUGAUAGAAACUAAAGAUGGUACAUGUCCACCGUGAAAGAAGAAAAAAAUAACAUUUUCUGAUAAACAACACAUGUGGAAUAUCUUGAAUAAUCGGCAUACAACCGAUGAAACAAUGCAUUAAACUACACUAAAAGAGGUCAAACAGCAUUACUAAUUUACUAUAACUUAGUUUAAAUAUUCUCACUUAACAACCGCCUUGGCAACCGAUCCAUAAACUUAAUAAACAAGACUCUUACAAACCAUAUACAAAUCUGUCCAUCUCCUACUUAUCUAAGUCCAUAUUGUCCUGAUCUAGAGCUGUCAAACUAGUUCCUUCCGCCUCAGAUUCCUGGUGCUUCUGUUCACUAUCCCAGGCUAGGAUAUCCAUGGUAUCCAUGGUUCCAGCCCGCUUCCUGAGAGAGGGUUGCCACAUCAGCAUACCUGGUCGUUUCAGGUGACCAUGUGUAGCUGCACAUAACGAAACAGCUGGCAUUUAGUAAGAAGGAAGAAUUAGAUUCAGAAACAAUCAAAUAGCAUAUGCGCAUCCCAUGCCCUACCAACCAAAAUCACCGCUAAUGCUAUGAAGAGAAACUAUCGACCAACUCCGGUUCUAGAAGGCGAUAACACCCAGGGAUGAUCUAUUUCUGUUGUAACAUCCCAGAUUUUACGUAGAAUGUUAAGGUUGCAAAAAUCGUGAAUUUUAAAAACUUUUCGUGUAUGUGCUCUUAGUUAGGAUCAAAUGCAAGGAUAUUCUCUCCUACCCCGAAUUCCUAGAAAAUUUAACCGAAAUUAAACUAAGGAUGAUAUUGUUAGUGUGUAAUUUUAGAGUCAUUUGGAUUUAUUUGCAAUCUACCUUAUUUAAAAUUUCUGUUGGAUCUUAUUUGAGUUGUUUCUAAUUUGUUUGAUUCAAUUGAGUGGAAUUUAAAUUUGAAUAGAUCAUUCAAAUUCAAAUUCAAAUACUAACUACCCUAAACCAACUUGGGCCAAUAGCCCGAAACCGGCCCACACGAGCACAGCCCGGCCCAACACCUUACCCCCUUUCCCCGCGAGCAUGGCCUAGCCCGCCAGCCGCCUCCGCCUUGUCCCUUUACCCCUCACCCGGGCAGCUGACAAGCGGGGCCCCCUUGUCAGCUUUCCCUUCCACCUCCAGCCGCGCCCCCGCGACGCUUCCGCUUUCGCCCCACGACAAGGCAGGGAAACCGCCGCGCCCUUCGCCUGCAUCACUGUCGCGCCCCCUUCGCCUGCGUCACCCCGCACCCGCGCCUCGCCUGUCCUCGCUCCACGACAUGGGAGCGAAACCGCCGCGCCUUCCUUGUCGGCCACCGAGCCCACACCGCAAACCCUAGCUCGCACCACGCCGUGCGAUGGUGCCACGCGUCUCUGCGCUGCAGCCGUCCCAUCGCCGCCCUCAACAUCCGGGCCCGUGCCGCGAACCCUAGCGCAGCCUCCUUAAGAAACCACCGAGACCGCCGCCAAAAACCCUAGCCGCCUCGGUGUCUUCCUCUUCCACUGCCGCCGCAAUCAAGAGAGAGGAGAAGGAAGGAGGGAAAAGGAAGGAGAAGGAGAGCACGGGGGAGAAGGACGCCGCCGCCGUCGCAAGAGCGUCUUCACCGAGCCAGUGCCCCGAUCGACUACAUCGACGACCCCGCGCUGCCCGGCUCUGCUCUGCCUCGCCACGGCCUCGCCUCUCCACUACCUCGAGAACCGUCUGCCCCAGCCUCGAUCGGUGAGCUUCGCCACUGCUCCCUAUCUCCCUUGUGCUGCCGGCACCAUCAAUGAGCCUUCCCUAGCUCACCUCUAGAACCCUGGCCCCUGUCCCGGCCUUGUGCCCCCAUUUUUGCAGGAGCCCGUCAUGCCGCCCGUGCCUCCUGCCACCUUCGUCGCCUCCUCGCCGCCGCACCGUGCCACAGUCCCGAGACGCCGGUGCCCCGUGCACGGCACGGCCACACCGCGGUCCCGGGAUGCCAGGACUCACGCGCAUGUGUUCACACCCAAACCAUCAGCCAAGCUCGAGCCUGGCCUUGACCCACCGCCGUGCUGCCUCGCCGGCGACGAGCUGCAACCCUGGGAGACCAGGACACCGCGUCCAACACCGACCCAUGCCGAGCCUUGCCACCGGUAGUUUCCCUUUUGCCACGCCGAGCCUUGCCACCGGCUGUUUCCCUUGCCAUGCUGCUGCCUCCGCCGCCGUCGCCGUGGCCACGGUGACCGCGCACGCCACCACGACAUCGCGGCCUGGCGCCCGCGAGCGCCUCUACGGCAUAUUGCCGAGCGCCUCGCAUGCGUCUGCACACACAUACUCGCUAUACACACACGAACACACGCACACAUUCUUGCCGCACCGGAUCCUACUGAGGCCGACGCGUGGGGCCGCCCAGUCAGCGAGAGGAGGAGAAGGAGGAGGGGAAGCCGCCCAGCCCAACACGGCCCAUGGUGCUACCGGGCCCGAAUACACGUCAGCCCGUGAUGAAGCCGAAGCCCAAGCCAGCCUGCUAAACCUCGAGCUGGCCCACGAGCCGACCCGAGUUGAUGGGCCAGAUUGAGCCGGCCCAUCACUUUCAGCCCAAAAAUGUAGCCGAGCCCCUGUUCUAUUUUCCUUUUUCCCAGCCUAACUUGGACCUCGCCUGUCGGCCUCGAGGUGAGACUAAUCAGUAGAUCCCGUGACCUGCUGACCCUGUUGACUGUUGAACGGUCAAUGUUGACCGGUCAACGCUGAUGUCAGCAGGGCCCAUUGCCGACGUCAGCUGGUACUGACCCCCGUGCUGAUGUCAGGCUGACGUCAGCAUGCCACGUGGCACGCUCCGGUGCUGCCAUGUGUCAUUGUUGACUGUUUUUAUUUUUCAAAAUUCUUUUAUUAAUUUCAGAAAUAGAUUUUUUCUUAGAAAAUUCAUAAUAAAUCAACCGGACCUCCGAAAAUUAUGAAACCAGUUCCACAAUUCUUCUAAAAUCAUGAACUACCCAUUAGAGUAGGUUUUGUGUUGAUUUGGGUCUUAUUUAGCAUCUUUUAUGCACUUUUACAAAUAGGACCUAGCUACGAGGAGCUGAUCGACGGCCCGGACCACCCGGAAGCCCAGGAGGACUUCCAAGAACCACCAAGUUCACGCUCAUCUACGAUCUGAUUAACUAUUAGGCAUUAUUUGCUAGACGUGCUACCGCUUCAUGAUGUGUUACUAAGAGAUAAACAUGCAUAGCCUAUUUAUUUACAUGUACUCCUUGCAAUCCUAUUAUACUGUAAUAUUAUAUGAAAUGCCUUGUAUAUGUGUGGGAAUGGAUGGAUAGUCUUGGUGUGAGUGGAGAUACACUUUCCAGAAGUUAGUGAAUAGGGCUUUUAGCCGGGAGCGGGCGAACUUAACUCGAUCAUGGAUCGAGGACUUGGGAUGUGUAUCUUGGCACACCCUACGGAGUAUCUGUGGCGGGUACAACUUAUUGUUACUUGGUUGAGGUGUUGGGGGCACCCGUAAAGGGUGCAGUUGCGGACCAUUGCAGUGGAGAAGCAUAUGAUGAAGAUGCCUGCUUCAGCAAUUGAGAAUCGGGUGAGAGUAACUAUAAUUAGUGGGACUAUAAUAAGCGUGCACGCCAGUUACCCAUUAUGAGGGUGAGCCUGGUCCGGGGCUAGCAAGUGCGAUACCAAGCCGGUAGGAGGAUCGAGUAUCGGUGCAUGGGGAUGAGGUGCUGACCUCACGUUCCCCGAGAUGCAAGGGAGACUUCAUAGUCCCGGGGUGACCUCUUGCAGGAGGAUGCGCCUAAGACCUAGGAAAGCCGGAUGGUGUCGUGGCUCCUGGUCCUGUUUCAGUAGACCGGUGUCUCGUCGCUCAGUCGGCUGAUCCCCGGCUGGUGUCAAUUCGAGUGGGUCCAGGUGUACAACCCCUGCAAGAU
rnacentral:lncRNA from 1 species